CCACCACGAAAGGUGGGACGUCAGGCGGGACGCCGGUGCAAACCGGAGGAAGGUGGGGACGACGUCAAGUCAUCAUGGCCCUUAUGUCCUGGGCCACACACGUGCUACAAUGGCCGGUACAGAGCGCAGCGAGGCCGCGAGGCGGAGCGAAUCGCUUAAAGCCGGUCCCAGUACGGAUUGGAGUCUGCAACCCGACUCCAUGAAGUUGGAAUCGCUAGUAAUCGCGCAUCAGCAUGGCGCGGUGAAUACGUUCCCGGGCCUU
rnacentral:rRNA from 1 species